AUCGAGCUGACGAGUUCCAAUUAGGAGGGAACGCGCGUCCUGUAU
rfam:Schistosoma mattheei strain Denwood, Zambia genome assembly, scaffold: SMTD_scaffold0006937